rnacentral:sRNA from 1 species
AAGGAGGUUUUCGACUCCAGCCGACUGUGAACAUACCCUACGUUGCUUCGGCGGGGCCCCGCGCCCGCCGAGCUGACGCAAACUCUUUUUUGAACCUGGAACUCUGAUUAUACAUUAAAAAAAAAUGAAUCAAAACUUUCAACAACGGAUCUCUUGGUUCUGGCAUCAAUGAAGAACGCAGCGAAAUGAAAUACGUCAUGUGAAUUGCAGAAGUCACUGAAUCCUCGAAUCUUUGAACGCACAUUGCGCCCGCAAGGAUUCUGGCGGAAUUGCCUGUUCGAGCGUCAUUACAACCCUCGAGCCCCCCCCCUUCCGGGGGGAGGGGCCCGGUGUUGGGGGACGGCCCGCCCUCGCUCAGGCCGCCCCCGAAAUGGAUCGGCGGCAACGUCGUCCGCCUCCCCUGCGCACCAAAAGAGAAUCUCGCAGGGUGAGGGAGCCGCGGUACAUGGAGUAAAACGAACAACCCUUCAAGAGUUGCCCGCGGAUGAGGGAGGAAGACCCCCACAUUUUAUGCUUAUCAGUAAGCACGAGGAAUCAGGUAGGAAUACCCGCUGAACUUAAGCAUAUCAAUAAGCGGAGGAACGCAACGGGAGCGCGCCGCGGCCACUGCCGUAAAACGCACAACCCUUCAAGAG